CAUCGUCAGCGUAUUCAGUAUUAACRCARGCUAUGAUGUGAUUAUACGAUCCUUGUGGUCRUGUARAUUAUACAUGCUUGUGUUAUUUAYGCUGGAUAUCGUCGGCGUGCACUUCUCCUCUAGUAGAACGUCGCGACCCGUUAAAUGUUUAUCUAUGGCCCRAUURGGUAGCCUUUAGUAUUUUWAAUACURAAGACCAUUGGUGUUCCUGAUAAACUGUUUGACGGUAUUCUAUGGUAUUGAGCCGCAAAAUUUAUUUUGCGUUAAACUUGCUGCAAGCGAAGCAUWUUCUGGUAGUGCGGAYUUURUGCCGUCGCYAGAAUAUGUUAGCUGUURGCGUGCAAWGUUCUUUAACUGGCUUAUUUACCGAUCAGCGAUGCUACUGCUUUGGGUACUUACAGGACCCGUCUUGAAACACGGACCAAGGAGUCUAACAUGUACGCGAGUCAUUGGGAUUAUUUUAAUAAAACAAACCUAAAGGCGUAAUGAAAGUAAAGAUUGUCCUUGUGACAAUUGAGGGAAGAUGGGUUACGUUACGAUGUAAUYCCGCACUCCCGGGAUGUCUUAUUCUCAUUGARAAAAGGCG
rnacentral:rRNA from 1 species